ensembl:lncRNA
CCUGGUCUCCGCGGGCUCCCUCUGCGCAUGUGCAGCCUUGGUCCCUUUUCUUCCCGACCGCCUUUGCAGGUCCGGUGAGAAGUUCUUGGAGUUUCUCAGUUACCGGCGGAAGCAGGAAGUCUUGGGCUGCCCUCAGGCCCAGGCGGGACUCCGCAGUGCCCGAGUCUGGCUUGGACCUUAGCUCUGGGAAGCUGAAUCGUCACUGUCCUCUACUCUCCCAAGACCCACUGAAAAUGAACAUAUCUGAGAUUGAUGAGAAAUGUGCCUUCACAGACAUCAGUGUCAUUCAAGGAUAUGAGUGUGGAGUUUACCUGGAAGGAGUGGCAGCAUGUGAAUCCUGCUCAGAGGACCCUGUACAGAGAUGUGAUGCUGGAGAACUAUAGCCACCUUGUCUCACCGGUGGCCAUGUAUGGAUGUGAGAGCUGGACUGUGAAGAAAGCUGAGCACUGAAGAAUUGAUGCCUUUGAACUGUGGUGUUGGAGAAGACUCUUUAAAGUACCUUGGACUGUGAGGAGAUCCAACCAGUCCAUCCUAAAGGACAUCAGCCCUGGAUGUACAUUGCAAGCUGAAACUCCAAUACUCUUUGUCCACCUCAUGUGAAGAGUUGACUCAUUGGAAAAGAUCCUGAUGCUGGGAGGGAUUGGGGGCAGGAGGAGAAGGGGACGACAGAGGAUGAGAUGUCUGGAUGGCAUCACCGACUCGAUGGACAUGAGUUUGAGUGAACUCUGGGAGUUGGUGAUGGACAGGGAGGCCUGGCGUGCUGUGAUUCAUGGGGUCACAAAGAGUUGGACACGACUGAGCGACUGAACUGAACUGAACCUGAAUAUCCAAUGUGCCUAAAGGCAGAUUUUUAAAAAGUUUGCUUUUCAGAAUGCUGCCACUUGACCCUUUUAUCUGUUGUAUUUAGAGUGGCGUGCUCACUGCCAUCUUAGGUUUGGGCGUAGGUCUGGCAUGUUACAUGGGAAGUGAAAUAUCCUGGGCAAGAGCAGUCAAACAUAAAAGAAACAUGAGAAAUUAAUAAAAGUAGGCUUUUGGAAAUGGGGUGAAGCAUGAGAUUAAAUGAUCUCAGUUAAUAGAAACUGUUACUAUAUGUUCAGCAGUGCAUGGGAUACUUACAUGGAGCUUAGUCCUGGUUGAGACAAGUUUCAGGGUGACUUCCCGGGACGUUCCAGUCGUUAGUUCCACUGCAGGGUUCAUGGAUUCCAUCCCUGGUCAGAGAAGUAAGACCUCACACUGGAUGUUGUAUGGC